rnacentral:rRNA from 1 species
GGGUGAGUAACACGUGGGUAACCUGCCCAUCAGAAGGGGAUAACACUUGGAAACAGGUGCUAAUACCGUAUAACAAUCGAAACCGCAUGGUUUUGAUUUGAAAGGCGCUUUCGGGUGUCGCUGAUGGAUGGACCCGCGGUGCAUUAGCUAGUUGGUGAGGUAACGGCUCACCAAGGCCACGAUGCAUAGCCGACCUGAGAGGGUGAUCGGCCACAUUGGGACUGAGACACGGCCCAAACUCCUACGGGAGGCAGCAGUAGGGAAUCUUCGGCAAUGGACGAAAGUCUGACCGAGCAACGCCGCGUGAGUGAAGAAGGUUUUCGGAUCGUAAAACUCUGUUGUUAGAGAAGAACAAGGAUGAGAGUAACUGUUCAUCCCUUGACGGUAUCUAACCAGAAAGCCACGGCUAACUACGUGCCAGCAGCCGCGGUAAUACGUAGGUGGCAAGCGUUGUCCGGAUUUAUUGGGCGUAAAGCGAGCGCAGGCGGUUUCUUAAGUCUGAUGUGAAAGCCCCCGGCUCAACCGGGGAGGGUCAUUGGAAACUGGGAGACUUGAGUGCAGAAGAGGAGAGUGGAAUUCCAUGUGUAGCGGUGAAAUGCGUAGAUAUAUGGAGGAACACCAGUGGCGAAGGCGGCUCUCUGGUCUGUAACUGACGCUGAGGCUCGAAAGCGUGGGGAGCAAACAGGAUUAGAUACCCUGGUAGUCCACGCCGUAAACGAUGAGUGCUAAGUGUUGGAGGGUUUCCGCCCUUCAGUGCUGCAGCUAACGCAUUAAGCACUCCGCCUGGGGAGUACGACCGCAAGGUUGAAACUCAAAGGAAUUGACGGGGGCCCGCACAAGCGGUGGAGCAUGUGGUUUAAUUCGAAGCAACGCGAAGAACCUUACCAGGUCUUGACAUCCUUUGACCACUCUAGAGAUAGAGCUUCCCCUUCGGGGGCAAAGUGACAGGUGGUGCAUGGUUGUCGUCAGCUCGUGUCGUGAGAUGUUGGGUUAAGUCCCGCAACGAGCGCAACCCUUAUUGUUAGUUGCCAUCAUUUAGUUGGGCACUCUAGCAAGACUGCCGGUGACAAACCGGAGGAAGGUGGGGAUGACGUCAAAUCAUCAUGCCCCUUAUGACCUGGGCUACACACGUGCUACAAUGGGAAGUACAACGAGUCGCGAAGUCGCGAGGCUAAGCUAAUCUCUUAAAGCUUCUCUCAGUUCGGAUUGUAGGCUGCAACUCGCCUACAUGAAGCCGGAAUCGCUAGUAAUCGCGGAUCAGCACGCCGCGGUGAAUACGUUCCCGGGCCUUGUACACACCGACCGUCACACCACGAGAGUUUGUAACACCCGAAGUCGGUGAGGUAACCUU